GACGGAGGAUGCAAGUGUUAUCCGGAAUCACUGGGCUUAAAGCGUGUGUAGGCGGACGCCUAAGUGUCUUGUGAAAUCCCACGGCUCACCCGUGGAACUGCUGGGCAUACUGGGCGUCUUGGGCCAACUAGGGGCAGCCGGAACAAGCGGUGGAGCGGUGAAAUGCGUAGAUAUCGCUUGGAACGCCGAAGGUGAAAACAGGCUGCUGGGGUUGUGCCGACGCUGAGACACGAAAGCCAGGGGAGCAAACGGG
rnacentral:rRNA from 1 species